GCGCGCGGCGCUGAUAUGUUUAAAGCGCCAGUUCACAAAGGCUCCCUGAAGUUGAGCAACGUUGAGCGUGGGUAUUAUCCGAAUGGGUGACCAUCUGGUUAAUCGCGUGCUGGCUUU
rfam:Asian citrus Psyllid, Diaphorina citri - Florida Strain, whole genome shotgun sequence.